AUUGAACGCUGGCGGCAGGCCUAACACAUGCAAGUCGAACGGUAACAGGAAGAAGCUUGCUUCUUUGCUGACGAGUGGCGGACGGGUGAGUAAUGUCUGGGAAACUGCCUGAUGGAGGGGGAUAACUACUGGAAACGGUAGCUAAUACCGCAUAACGUCGCAAGACCAAAGAGGGGGACCUUCGGGCCUCUUGCCAUCGGAUGUGCCCAGAUGGGAUUAGCUAGUAGGUGGGGUAACGGCUCACCUAGGCGACGAUCCCUAGCUGGUCUGAGAGGAUGACCAGCCACACUGGAACUGAGACACGGUCCAGACUCCUAAGGGAGGCAGCAGUGGGGAAUAUUGCACAAAGGGCGCAAGCCUGAUGCAGCCAUGCCGCGUGUAUGAAGAAGGCCUUCGGGUUGUAAAGUACUUUCAGCGGGGAGGAAGGGAGUAAAGUUAAUACCUUUGCUCAUUGACGUUACCCGCAGAAGAAGCACCGGCUAACUCCGUG
rnacentral:rRNA from 1 species